UACGUAGGGGGCAAGCGUUGUCCGGAAUCAUUGGGCGUAAAGAGCGUGUAGGCGGCCAGAUAAGUCCGCUGUGAAAACUCGAGGCUCAACUUCGAGCUGUCGGUGGAAACUAUUUGGCUAGAGUCCGGAAGAGGAGAGUGGAAUUCCUGGUGUAGCGGUGAAAUGCGCAGAUAUCAGGAAGAACACCCGUGGCGAAGGCGGCUCUCUGGUACGGAACUGACGCUGAGACGCGAAAGCGUGGGGAGCGAACAGG
rnacentral:rRNA from 2 species